rnacentral:rRNA from 1 species
GUGGGGAAUAUUGGACAAUGGGCGCAAGCCUGAUCCAGCCAUGCCGCGUGAGUGAUGAAGGCCCUAGGGUUGUAAAGCUCUUUCACCGGAGAAGAUAAUGACGGUAUCCGGAGAAGAAGCCCCGGCUAACUUCGUGCCAGCAGCCGCGGUAAUACGAAGGGGGCUAGCGUUGUUCGGAAUUACUGGGCGUAAAGCGCACGUAGGCGGACAUUUAAGUCAGGGGUGAAAUCCCGGAGCUCAACUCCGGAACUGCCUUUGAUACUGGGUGUCUGGAGUAUGGAAGAGGUGAGUGGAAUUCCGAGUGUAGAGGUGAAAUUCGUAGAUAUUCGGAGGAACACCAGUGGCGAAGGCGGCUCACUGGUCCAUUACUGACGCUGAGGUGCGAAAGCGUGGGGAGCAAACAGGAUUAGAUACCCCUGUAGUCC